rnacentral:rRNA from 1 species
AUUGAACGCUGGCGGCAUGCCUUACACAUGCAAGUCGAACGGCAGCACGGGUGCUUGCACCUGGUGGCGAGUGGCGAACGGGUGAGUAAUACAUCGGAACAUGUCCUGUAGUGGGGGAUAGCCCGGCGAAAGCCGGAUUAAUACCGCAUACGAUCCACGGAUGAAAGCGGGGGACCUUCGGGCCUCGCGCUAUAGGGUUGGCCGAUGGCUGAUUAGCUAGUUGGUGGGGUAAAGGCCUACCAAGGCGACGAUCAGUAACUGGUCUGAGAGGACGACCAGCCACACUGGGACUGAGACACGGCCCAGACUCCUACGGGAGGCAGCAGUGGGGAAUUUUGGACAAUGGGCGAAAGCCUGAUCCAGCAAUGCCGCGUGUGUGAAGAAGGCCUUCGGGUUGUAAAGCACUUUUGUCCGGAAAGAAAUCCUUGACUCUAAUACAGUCGGGGGAUGACGGUACCGGAAGAAUAAGCACCGGCUAACUACGUG